CGCUAAGUGCGGCUACAUCGGUUGGAUCUAAAUAACUUCUGAAGGACUCCGAGCUGCACCAUGUUUGUCUGAGUGAGUAUAUGAGCAUGCACACACCUAGAAAUAAGGUCCAGAUGUAAAAAAACCGGACUUGCCCUUUAAUGUCACACUUUUCUAUUUUUAUCCUUUGUCAGACUUUACUCCUUUUGUCUUCAGUUAAGAUGCAGUUUUAGGUUCAGAGAGAGUCCAGCCUCGGGGCCAUUGUGCUGCCUUAAUGCUGCCCUGCUCAUGAGUAUUGAAAUGCAUUUCAAUUUUGGUAAAUUUCACAAUAAAACCCUUGUUGGAGUCAGUGUAAAGGGUUAAGUGAUGGCUCGCUGAAUGAUCACGGUGUCUUUUUAAGAUUAUAAUCCAUUGUGUUGGGAGCAGCACUGCUGGACUUUGAACAAGGUGCUCCUCCCAUAAAACAUUUCCUGGUUCAUUCGUGGAAUCCUGCUUCUUCCGUGUGUUGCGCCCUUACUUUUACAGGUAUAUAUAUUUUAUCUUGUUCUUCUGAGCUAAAACCACCGUUACUACAUAGUAUCAGUGUGGAAUCUGCUCUGUGUCUCCAGGGAUCUCUGUUAAAUCCUGACUGGUUUAGAGGACAAAACUGACUGAAGAUGUCUGAUGUGGAUAAAGCGGACGGAUCAGAGUGUGAGGACAGGGCAUCGACGAAGACUGACGGGUCCCCCAAAUUUAACCGACCAGACUUCAGUGAUGAACCUGGACUUUCGGACCCAAAACACACAGCAGAGUCUUCAGGACACAGCAAGUUGUUUCUGAAGACUGUCUGGCCUAGCCUACCAGACUUCAGUGGUGAACCUGGACCUUCAGACUCACAUGUGAGAGUUGAAGCUGGAUCUUCAGUCUGUGAGGAGCAGCCAGAAAGAUCCAGAAGCGUCGCUAC